rnacentral:rRNA from 1 species
AUUGAACGCUGGCGGCAGGCCUAACACAUGCAAGUCGAGCGGAUGAGGGAAGUUUGCUUCCCGAUUUAGCGGCGGACGGGUGAGUAAUGCCUAGGAAUCUGCCUAUUAGUGGGGGAUAACGUUCUGAAAGUAACGCUAAUACAGCAUACGUCCUACGGGAGAAAGUGGGGGAUCUUCGGACCUCACGCUAAUAGAGGAGCCUAGGUCGGAUUAGCUAGUUGGUGAGGUAACGGCUCACCAAGGCGACGAUCCGUAGCUGGUCUGAGAGGAUGAUCAGCCACACUGGAACUGAGACGCGGUCCAGACUCCUACGGGAGGCAGCAGUGGGGAAUAUUGGACAAUGGGCGAAAGCCUGAUCCAGCCAUGCCGCGUGUGUGAAGAAGGUCUUCGGAUUGUAAAGCACUUUAAGUUGGGAGGAAGGGUUGUAAGCUAAUAGCUUGCAGCUUUGACGUUACCAACAGAAUAAGCACCGGCUAACUCUGUGCCAGCCGCCGCCGUAAGAC